rnacentral:lncRNA from 1 species
AUGCUGGGCAGACCUUCACAUCACUCCUGCAGGCAGAGGCUGGCAACCUCACUCCACCUAAUGGCUCUUUACAAUGUUAUGCUCAGGUGGAUGCAUGUUGGAAUGGCACCUCUGUGGGUCUCCAUCCUUCUUUGGCAGCAGCACAGAGGAAUCCAGGCAGCUCACUCUGUUCUGUUCUGGGAUACAUCAGAAGAAGUGUCCAGCUGUGAUGCAAACCAGCUUUUCCAGAAACACUCUGAGAGGCUUCGUGUUGGAAGUGAAAGCCUUGGGGUACCUUGUGCUGUCCCCAUGUGUGUGCUGUUUUGGUGGUGUGAUGGAGCAAAGGGAGCUGAUAUAAGGAGAUAGCAUCCACCCAUCAUCUCUGGAAGGAUGUGCUCAACUCUGCCAGGGUGA